UACGUAGGCAGCAAGCGUUGUUCGGAGUUACUGGGCGUAAAGGGUGCGUAGGCGGUUGUUUAAGUUUGGUGUGAAAUCUCCCGGCUCAACUGGGAGGGUGCGCCGAAUACUGAAUGACUCGAGUGCGGGAGAGGAGAGUGGAAUUCCUGGUGUAGCGGUGAAAUGCGUAGAUAUCAGGAGGAACACCGGUGGUGUAGACGGCUCUCUGGACCGUAACUGACACUGAGGCACGAAAAGCGUGGGUAGCAAACAGG
rnacentral:rRNA from 1 species